CAGGAAGGUUCUCAGAGGAGAAGAUGCCCACCCACACUGGGAUUACAAGGAAGAUAGGAAUUUGUCAGAGGGCAAGGGGACAGCGGGAGGGAGUGACCAAGGGGGUCAGCAGGGGCAAAGGCCAGGAGGUGGUCACAGUAUAGGUGUGUGUGGGGAUGGAAGGUGUCAGCACAGCUGAGGCUGGGGAAGGGACAGGCAGGGCAUCCCCGUCCUCGAGAGCCAGGCCAGAGCACUCGGGGACUGUCCUAUGGCCAGCAGGAACCUGAAGGGCUUAGGAACAUCCCCUGGCAGCCAGACACAGGAUGGAGGGGAGGGCGCGGGACGGUGAAACCCUCUUCUUCUGGAACUCAGCCCCUCUGUCUGGGAGACACAGGAAGGAACUGCCAGGGCUGUGGACUUGCACAGUCUUGCCUGAACUAUCUCAUCCCUGGCAGUUUUGUUUGUUUGUUUUUUGUUUGUGUUUUAAAGAUAGGGUCUUACUCUGCCACCUAGGCUGGAGUGUGGUGGCACAAUCAUGGUUCACCGCAGCCUUGGCCUCCCUGGCCCAGGUGAUCCUCUCACCUCAGCCUCCGGAGGACCUGGGUCCACAAGCACACACCAGCACACCCAGCUAAUUUUUAUUUUAUUUUAUUUUAUUUGUAGCGAUGGGGGUCUCACUAUCUUGCCCAGGCUGGUCUUAAACUCCUGGGCUCAAGUGAUCCUCCUCCCUCAGCCUCCCAAAGUGCACCUGAUAUUACAGGCAUGAGCAGCUGCGCCUAGACCCUGGCAGCCUUUUGAAAUGGAAUGUAUCUGUCACCAUCUUUGCAGAUUAGGAAGCCAAGGCUAAGAGAAAAGAGUGACUUCUUCAGGGUCACCCUGUCAUCCAUGUCGGUGGGGAAAACCCUGGACAGCCCCACGCUACCCUGAUUUCUUUCCCUCAUCUCUGUCCUCAGACUGGUCAGCAGGGCAUGCAAUGCCCACCAGAGGGCACCAAAGGCCAGAUUUGCCGUGCACUCCCACACCGUUUUGAGUCUCAGAUGCGGCCUCCAUUGAUUAGAGUCUCAGAUGCGGCCUCCACUGAUUGAGUCUCAGAUGCAGCCCCAUUGAUUGAGUCUCAGAUGCAGCCCCUAUUGGUUGAGAUCCCCAGGUGCAGCCUCCACUGAUUGAGAGCUUCACAUGCAGUCCCCAUUGAUUGAGAGUCUCAGAGGCAGCUCCCAUUGAUUAAGUUUCAGAUGCAGCCCCUGUUGAUUGACUCUCAGAUGCAGCCCCCAUAGACUGAGAGCCCCAGAGGCAGCCCCACUGAUAGAGAGUCUCAGAUGCAGCCCCCAUUGAUCGAGAGUCUCAGAUGCAGCCCCUAUUGAUUGAGUCUCAGAUGCAGCCCCUGUUGAUUGAAAGUCUCAGAUGCAGCCCCCAUUGACUGAGAGGUUCACACGGAGCCCCCACUGAGUGACAGCUUCAGAUGCAGCCUCCAUUGAUUGAGAGAUUCAGAUGUGGCCCCCAUUGAUUGAAAACUUCAGAAUCAGCCUCCAUUGAUUGAGAGCCCCAGAUGCAGCCUCCAUUGAGAGCUUCACACGCAGCCUCCAUUGAUUGAGAGUCUCAGAGGCAGCUCCCAUUGAUUAAGUCUCAGACACAACCCCUAUUGAUUGACUCUCAGAUGCAGUCCUCAUUGACUGAGUCUCAGAUGCAGCCCCUAUUGACUGAGAGUCUUAGAUGCAGUCCUCAUUGAUUGAGAGUCUCAGAUGCAGGCCCUAUUGACUGAGUCUCAGAUGCAGCUCCUAUUGACUGAGAGCCUCAGAGGCAGCCCCAUUGAUUGAGAGCCCCAGAGCAGCCCCCACUGAUUGAGAGCUUCAGAUACAGCCCCCAGUGAUUGACAGCUUCACAUGCAGCCCCCAGUGAUUGACAGUUUCAGAUCCAGCCUCCAUUGCUUGAGAGCUUCAGAUGCAGCCCCCCAUGAUUGAGCUUCAUUCACAUGCAGCCCCCACUCUGGAUUCUCCGCUGAAGGGUCACCCUGGUAGAGCCUUAAGAGAAUUGAAGCUCAGGUCCAGGUGGCUCUGCGGCCCUCCUUCUGAGUCUGAGGUGACAGGGUAGGUGAGGUUGGCCACAGAAGGGAGUGCAUUAGGCCCAGAGGCUGUGACUAAGGAGGCUUUGGUGCUCCUUCUCUCCCUAGACUUUUGCGAAACUCUUCGAAGUCCUGGAGAGGCUCUGGAGUGUGGCUACUUGGAGCCCUGUGUCUGUGGGGAGCCGCUGCCUAGAUCUAAGCACGGUCUGGCUAGAGCUUCCCACUGGACAGUGGCUGGUCAGGGGGAGUUUGUUGGCUCCCACCCCGGCCCCCGGGCAGCACAUAUCAGCUGGCCUGGCUGGGCCUUGGGAGGACAGAGGAUGCUCAUUCCUCAGGACUAGAGGAGCCCUGUGGUGCCUCCCUCCCGCUCUAGCUGGGAGAUGGGCAGAGCUGGACUGCACCUGCUGCUGUCCCCACUGUGACCAGGCUUUUGGGGUGGACAAGAGGGCUCAUCCCCUCCAUACCCCUCCCUGGAGCCCCUCCCAGGUCCACGUUGUGGGACUGGGCUGUGACAGGACUCUGGCCAAAGAGAUGUGUGGAGACAUCACAGGAAAGGGGCUGGUGAAGUUGGGGGCUACCCAUGGGGUCCUAAGAAAGGCUGGUGCUUUCCUGCCUUGGGCUGCAGUCCCAGCAUGACAUGAGGUGUUGCUUCCUGCCAUGAACCAAAAGGCAAGAGGGACGAAGCCAGGGUAAGGGAGGAGUCUGCACCCCCCAUCGCCAGGUUCUCCAGGCAGCCACAGCCACAGGCUGUUUAGAGCCUGGGGUCAGUGGGACCCAGGAGGAGGCUGCUAGGGUUGAGGCCGGUGGAGCUGCCCCUGCGGCCCCGGGCGGGGCUGAGCCAGGGAGGUGCACUCAGGACUGCAGCAGCCCCAGGAGAUGCCCCGAGGCCUGGCCCAGCUCCUCAGUUUCCCUCUGCAGGUCAGGCUUGGGUAUUCCCUGGGGCACGCCAAGCCUACAGAGGACAGAGGGGAUCUGUCUGUGUGUGAUGGGGGGCCAUAGGGCGGGGCUUCUUUCUUCUGGCCAGGCCCUGGGGGAUGUGUGUGUGUGUGUGUGUGUGUGUGUGUGUUGGCCCUGGGGGUGGCCACGGUGUUUCCUGGGAACAGCAUGUGUCUGUAUUAGGUCCUGUGUCUGCUAUAACAAGUCACCACAAACUUGGUGGCUUAAAGCAACAAAAAAGUCUUCUCUCACGGUUUCAGAGGCCAGAACCUGCAAUCAGUAUCAAUGGGCUGAAAUCAAGGGGUCGGCAGAGCUUCGCUCCCUCCUGGGGGUCUAGGGUAGAGCCUGCCUCUUCCCCACCUCCUCCGGAUUCGGCGGCUGCUGGUGCUCUUGGCUGUGUAGUCCCGAUCUCUGCCUCAUCUUCACAUCGCCUUCUCUGCUCUGUGUGCAAGCCACCCUCUACCUGCAUCAUAAGGAUACAAGUGAUUUAGGGCCCACCUGGAUGAUCCAGGGUCCCCUCCCACUUUAAAAUCCUUAAUGUAAUCCCAUCUGCAAAGACUUUGCCAUAUAAGGUAACGUACACAGGUUCCAGGGAUUAGGAACUGAUACCUUUGGGGGCCCUUAUUCACCUCGCCACAGCGUCCCCGUGAGUACAGAGAGGGAGGGCAUCCAGGCCCUCCCCCCAGCACAACCUCACAUGCCCUGGGCCCCAGGGCUGCCUCACCCCUGCCUACUCCCUGGACGCUCUUGGGAGCUGGUGUCGGGAUGCUGAGUCUGUGUUUGAUACAUCAGGAGGAAACAAAGUCCAGAGGGGCCUAAGGAGCCCAGGGCCACACAGCACAGAGUGAGGAUGGCACCCCUCCUGCCACCACCGUCGCUGAAUUGAGUGCUGAUUCUGCAUGGAGCUUUGCCUGUGCUGCCUGCCUCAUGCUCCCCAGGAAAGCGCUAUCAUUAUCACCCUCGUUUUCCUGAGGAGGGAGAAACUGAGGCUGAGAGAGGCCAGUCAUCUCGGUGGAGGCCACAUAAUGGAUCCAGAAUUGGAGCUGGACAGCCGCCACAACGCCGAGUGUUAAGGAGGAACACAGUUUGCAGCUGCCCCCCACCCCUGCCAGGCUAUGGCUUGUCACCAUCAGCUCCAUGUAAACUAGAGACUAGUGGUAAAACCACCUUUGCAAAAAUUAUGACGGUGAGAGAAACCUGACAGUUGGCUCCAUUUUGCUUCUACCCUCACAAGCUAACCAUCUUUGCUCAUUCCUGGGCGUAGACCAAGCUAACUAUGGGAGAAAUUUAGUUUAUAGUUUAACUUUAGAACAAAGAUGAUAACGGUUCCUUCCUGAAAUGAACCCCCUCCUUGCCUGGGGACAAAAACCACCUUUGUAAAGUUAACAAAUUAGCCACAAGGUUAGAAUUAUGGUUCUGGAGUCAAGUAGCCAGAGAUCACAAGUUUGUAACUUCCUCAGUUGCUUCUAUAGAUGACAUCAUUAGGAUAAAACCAAAGACUGGUGUUUGAGGUAUUUUUCAGAACUUGCAUUCUGAGGCACCAGCUGGUGCCGCCCAAACCCAUAACCCAUACAAAGAAAUGGACUCACCCAGUCCUGUGACUCUACCCAGGAAUUGACUCAGAGCAAGAAGACAGCUCUGGACCCUGCAAUUUCACCCCUGAACCAACCAAUCAGCAUUCUCCAUUUCCUAAGCCCCACCUGUCAAACCAUCCUUUAGAAACCGUAGCCUCCAAAUUCUUCUGAUGGGCAUUUGGGUUGGUUCCAAGUCUUCGCUAUUGUACAUAGUGCUGCAAUAAACAUACCUGUGCGUGUGUCUUUAUAGUAGAAUGAUUUAUAACCCUUUGCAUAUAUACCCAGUAAUGGGAUUGCUGGGUGGAAUGGUAUUUCUGG
rnacentral:lncRNA from 1 species